GGGGAGCAGCCCAGAGCCUGAAUCAGUGUGUGUGUUAGUGGAAGCGUCUGGAAAGGCGCGCGAUACAGGGUGACAGCCCCGUACACAAAAAUGCACAUGCUGUGAGCUCGAUGAGUAGGGCGGGACACGUGGUAUCCUGUCUGAAUAUGGGGGGACCAUCCUCCAAGGCUAAAUACUCCUGACUGACCGAUAGUGAACCAGUACCGUGAGGGAAAGGCGAAAAGAACCCCGGCGAGGGGAGUGAAAAAGAACCUGAAACCGUGUACGUACAAGCAGUGGGAGCACGCUUAGGCGUGUGACUGCGUACCUUUUGUAUAAUGGGUCAGCGACUUAUAUUCUGUAGCAAGGUUAACCGAAUAGGGGAGCCGAAGGGAAACCGAGUCUUAACUGGGCGUUAAGUUGCAGGGUAUAGACCCGAAACCCGGUGAUCUAGCCAUGGGCAGGUUGAAGGUUGGGUAACACUAACUGGAGGACCGAACCGACUAAUGUUGAAAAAUUAGCGGAUGACUUGUGGCUGGGGGUGAAAGGCCAAUCAAACCGGGAGAUAGCUGGUUCUCCCCGAAAGCUAUUUAGGUAGCGCCUCGUGAAUUCAUCUCCGGGGGUAGAGCACUGUUUCGGCAAGGGGGUCAUCCCGACUUACCAACCCGAUGCAAACUGCGAAUACCGGAGAAUGUUAUCACGGGAGACACACGGCGGGUGCUAACGUCCGUCGUGAAGAGGGAAACAACCCAGACCGCCAGCUAAGGUCCCAAAGUCAUGGUUAAGUGGGAAACGAUGUGGGAAGGCCCAGACAGCCAGGAUGUUGGCUUAGAAGCAGCCAUCAUUUAAAGAAAGCGUAAUAGCUCACUGGUCGAGUCGGCCUGCGCGGAAGAUGUAACGGGGCUAAACCAUGCAC
rnacentral:rRNA from 1 species